GAAAAAGUCGUUACAGACAACCCGUGUUACGAUCGUCGAUUUUUCUUAAACACGUAGUGUUCACUGUGCUGAUUAAGAGUGAGAUUAAAUUACUGAUUGUGGGAAUUGCCGGCGCGAGCCCAAUAGUACAACAGCAAGCAUGCAGAUAUUACUCGCUGGCAUAAAAUCAUCAUGUUAAUGGAGGAGUGAAGGAGGAGAUAAUUUGAGAUCGGCCUAUUAGCAUUCAUGCACGUAAUGUGAGAUGGCGGGAAGGCGGCGUGUGUUAAGCGCAGCCUGGUCGUCCUGCUGCAAGCUUUGUGGUAUGCCCUGCGGACCAAAACCGGUCGUGGCCGGUCCUGUAGUCAUCCGGAUGACGUCAACGAUGCUAGCGCCGUGGGAUACACUAGGCACACGGACACACACGCCAACACACUAGGAUUAGGAACAACAUACGGAUAAGUAGAAUCUUAGAUUUAAGUGUAAAUGGGGUUAAAAGGGAGUUAAAUACAAUAAAUUUGGAUCAUGAUUGCCAUUUUUUGUAAAGUUCGGCAUUUCUUUUGGCAUCUGGGUGUUUCCGGGAUUAACUUGUUCGUAGAACUUUGAUGUGCUAAACCGCGAACCUGAUCGAACGGCUGUCGAGGACAGGCCAAUACACCAACGAAAGUCGAUUUUGGUUUUAUUAAAUUUUGUCUCAU